UAUGUUGUAUUGGGCUUUUCGGUUCCAGAGUCUGACUCGUCUCGGGCUUCGAUAAAUACCAACCGCCUAACAACUCCACGCACGAAGUAGUGGCGGAGGAAGCACGCGACGCUGCGGUUCGUCCAUCGCCUUCGAUCUGCCGACCUUGAUCUUGAAUCGCCUAUUUGGGUUUUUGGUAUGGCGAAGAUAUUGGUAUUGCUCUGUAUCUUGUUUUCGUUUUGUCUCCGAUCUCUUUGGGUCUCAUCGAAUCGCAUGCGACGCUUUGGAGAGGGCGAGCAUUUGGUUCGUCCAUCUAUGGCCUUGGGUCUCUCCCUUGGGGUUAUCUGGUCAUGGUAUGUCAAGAUCCUGCCAUCCUUCUUGACAUGUGUUUCUUGGUGGUAGAUUCUGUUGUUGCGAUACGUCGGUUCUUGAAUGGUUGCUGCCUUGUUUGAUCGGAGUCGGUAGAUUUAGAAGCAUGACUGUGGAAACCUCGUCUUCGAGAUGCUCCGCUUGUUCUUCUUGGAAUCUAGGGUUAGGGUUAUCUUGUUUGGCCGGAGCCGAUAGAUUUGGUAGUGUGACCGUUGAAACAACAUCUUGGAUGUGCUUUGUUUCUUCUUGUUUGAAUAUAGGGUUGAGGUUAUCUUGUUUGGCCGGACUCGUAAGAUUUGGUAGCAUGACGGCUGAGUUCUCGUCUUGGAUGUGCUUCGGUUCUUCUUCUUUGAAUCUAAGGUUAGGGUUAUGUUGUUUGGCCGGAGUUGGUAUAUUUAGUAGCAUGAUGGCUGAGUUUUCGUCUUGGAUAUGCUUUGGUUCUUCUUCUUUGAAUCUAAGGUUAGGGUUAUGUUGUUUGGCCGGAGUUGGUAUACAUAGUAGCAUGACGGCUGAAAUCUCAUCUUGGAUCAGACCCACUUUUUCUCGAAUUUGGAAGAAUUGUUGCACUCACAUUGUUGACAUGUUGAUUGGCGGACUAAUUAUAUAUUAUCUCAUGUAGUUAAGCUAUCUUUAGUAUCCUAAUCCCUAUAUUUUAAAAAGUUACAUUAACAUCUUUAUAGCUGCGAAAGUAAAACAUCUAACUCCAUUUAUCCUAACGUCGUUUGUUUGAGCAAUAAAAACACGAAAACAAAGGACAAAAAAUAUAAUUUUAGCAUUUCAAUUGGUGGUGGCAGACUAUGUCGAUGGUGGCGAACGACGUCGCCGUUGGGGCCGUAGAUGGCUGUUGUGGAUGAGGAAAGCGGCGAUGAGAGGUGAGGGUCGCUUUGUAUUGUGUCGAUGCAAAUGCAGUUGCCGAGCGGUGAAAGGGUCGAUGCAGAUACUGAGUGGUGUCGCUCUAUAUCUGCGUCGACGCAGUUACCGAGUGACGCCACUCGAUAUCUACAUCGGUAGCCCUUGCGUCGCUCAGCAAAUGCAUCUGUGUCGACGUAGUUGCUAAGCGACAAAAGGGCCGUCGAUGCAGAUGCCAAGAUGCCCUCAUCUCUUACCGUCACUCUUUUAUCCACAAUAGUCACCCGUAGCCUCCAAUGGUGUUGUCGUCGCCGCCACCGACGUCGUCCGUCAUCGCUAACUGGAAUAUUAAAAUUAUAUUUUUUGUCUUUUGUUUUUAUAUUUAUGUUAAUAAAACCGAUGGCGUUAGGGUAAAUGGACCUAGGUGUUUCACUUUCAUAACUAUAGAGAUGCUAAUUCUUUUUAAAGUAUAGAUAUCGGGAUGCUAAAAGUAGCUAACUACAUGGGUUAACCUGUAAUUAGUCCUUGAUUGGCUGUUGAUUGUCCUUUCUUGAGUACAUGUUGGUUUUAUUUGCAUUAUUACUUUUCUCUUUUUGUCUAGGGAGUUUUUAGGUUUGUUUCCUUGAUGUUCAAUUCCUUCUUAUUCAGCCAUUUCACUAAACUUACUGCUUUUCUAAAGUCCUUUCAUCUUCUAAACCCUAAAUUUUUCUUUUUGUAUGUUCCUCAUCAUGUUUAUACAUAGCACUGAGUUAGACAUAUGAUAUUUUAUUAGUAUUCUAAGCAAUUGUAUUCAGCGAAUUAUUGCACUUUUGUGCCUUUUAUUUCCCUUGUAGGCAACGAAAUUCUUAGUGAUAUAGGGAUUCUGUGGGAACUUUUAGAAUGGACUAGUUGGAAAUUGAUUGCAUGUAUAGGCUUGCAAUUAUUAUUUUGAGAGAUGCUAAAUUUGCUCCACUUGUCUAUUUCCAGUUUUUUACAUGCACUGCAUGACAAAUGUACAGCUAGAGCAAUGGAUAACUCACGAUGCUACUGUCAUGCAUCUGUUUUGGAGUUUUGCUUGUUAAUAUUUCCUUGGUCAUUUUGUUUUUCUGUGUGCCUAUUGGAGAUCAAUUGCCUGUCAACUUUCAUGCACAAUUGUGCUGCAUGUCCACAGUGAGAUCUUUGUCAGGCCUCAGUUGUUUUUUCAUGCUUCAUUAGAUGCAUUGACCAGGCUUUAGCAGUUGAUUUUUCCGUCAUACACAACAUACAGAUUUGGCCUGACUUAUUUUCUGCAUGCUUUCCCCUACCAUCGGUUUAGAACUUGAAAGCAUAAACCUAUUAACCAAGUCAUCUAUACAUUUUUUUCUCUUUUAAUUAAUCCUUGUUUCUUGGUUAUAUCCCUGUGAGUUGUGAAGGUUAGUGCAGAAGCAAUAUAAAGUUCUCACCAUUAAAAACUUACCAUUGAGAAGAAUGACUCCAAAGAGAACCCGUGUAUAGUCAUAAAAUAUGUACAUUUUGCACUUGUAAAGGUGCUGCAAAAAUAAAGAUAUUGUUAUCCUAUGCUUAUUUGUUUGCAUCAAAUUGUUUCCUUAUGCAUGCAUCAUAAGGAUUGCUUAGUGGCUUCAUGUUACAUUUUAGUUUUUGUGAAACUAGUAAUUGUAUGAUUUUCAAUAUCACUGCAUGGCUCCAUGAAGAAUUUCACAUAUUGAAUAUAAUGCUCAAAGUAUUGAGAUGCAUGGAUGGUUUGUACUAGUUUGUUUUGUUUACUCUUAACUUUGUAGUACCUAAUUUGGAUUAAAGUGGAGACGCAAGAAACAGUACAAGUGAUGCGUGGUGCCAUCACUGUGCAAAUCUGUGGAAAUCUUGAGAAUUUGCUGGGCAUCUGUGCAAAUCUGCAUUCUUGAGUGCUUGAGUUUAGCCAUCUUCUGCAAAUCCUCCAAUAAUGCUAAACAUUCAGCUUCUAUUCGAGACGCAGCUUGACAUGGCCUUCCUCCAAGCAUCAUGAUAUCUCCGUUUAUCUUAUUAAUUACAAAGCCAAUUCCUGCAAAAGAUAUCUUGCUCAUCUUAGUUUGUUCUAUGGCCAUAUAUCUCGUUGGUUACAAAAGGAGCUCCAGAAGAGUGACCAAAAAAGAAUUCAUGUCUAGUUGCCAUCUAUAGAUGCACCAGUAAGUUCCAAUCGUUCAGCCAGAUUUGUUGAUCAUGGUAAGAAGUUCUUCUAUAUUGUCUUCUUGUGCCAUAUGUGCUGUGAAUAUGAUGAUCCUUGAUCUCGUAAGAAGUUCCAAGCAUCAUGAUCAUGUAAGAAGUUCUAAAUGGUUUUUUGCCUAUGCAUGAUUGUUUAGGUAGUUCUUUGCAUUUAUGCUUGGUUAAUCUGAUGUUCUAGGCAAAUGCUGAGUUUUAGCUAAAGAUUCCCCAGCUGCUUUUUGUUAGAUUUGUUGCUAGUUGAGUUUUGCAUGAAUGUACAUUUUGAGCAGUCUGAUUCAUCACCGCUUAAAGAUCUUCUUCUUCUUCAGGUUUAUUAAGGCUUUUACACUUCACUAUAGCACUAGUUCAACAAACAAGGCAAAUUCAAGUAAUGUCAAAAGUUACUUUUGUGCAGUCUAAUUCAACACCACUUGACGAGUUUAUUAGUUUUGGUAAAUCUGAGUUCUAUUCCUCCGUGUUUAAUUUUUAUCUUGUAAUAGCACUGCGAAUGAAAAAUUUUCAACUUUACAAGGCUUCUGUUUGUCACACUUACCUUCUCUAGAUUGCCCAAAGAUGUUCAUUAAUUGUCGAUUUGAUGUGUGUUGAUGUAAUUUGAAAGGAGAAAAGCAACAUGUAUUCACACAUCUUUCUUCCCGCUUUUUCUUGAUGUCAAUUCGCACAUCUUUCGGUUAGAUCCUUUUCCUCUUGACAUUAUGUGGCAUGACAAACAUGUUUUGAUUGAGUGCUUAAUAAACAAGAUUGGUGCUGCUGACCUUGUCUGUUCAUCAACAAAUCUGUAAAGAUUUUUCGAACGGGAGUUCAUCAAUGCUAGUGUGUUCUCACAAAGCCUGUCACCGUGGAUGUAGGUGCUGAGAAACUUGUGAACGUAGAUUUAAAAGAGUUUCUUUGUAGGAACACGAGAUCGUAAAAGCAGGUUAAAAACUAUGUUAAUAACUCGAGUUGGAGCCCGAAAUCCUUUCGACAAACUCAAUGCUCUGCAAGAUGCUCUGUAUGUGCCAGCCAGGUGACAGCUCAACCUAAUGUAAUCAAGGCAUGGUGACCAUGAUAAUCUCAUGUAUGUUAGUCAGCAUAAAUUAUUACAUUGCAUGGCCUGAGAAGAAAGAUCAGAAUCAUUGCAAUAGAUGAAAUACUUCAAUUGCUCU